rnacentral:tRNA from 1 species
GCGGUGGUGGUUCCAGGCGAGAAUUCUUGCCUUCCGUGUAGGAGACCUGGGUUCAGUUCCCAGCCAAUGCA